GACAGAGGUCCCGAGCGUUAUGCGGAAUCACUGGGCUUAAAGCGUGUGUAGGCGGACGGGUAAGUACCUUGUGAAAUCCCACGGCUCAACCGUGGAACUGCUUGGUAUACUGCCUGUCUUGAGCCAGCUAGGGGCAACCGGAACAAAUGGUGGAGCGGUGAAAUGCGUAGAUAUCAUUUGGAACGCCAAUGGUGAAAACAGGUUGCUGGGGCUGUGCUGACGCUGAGACAUGAAAGCUAGGGGAGCAAACGGG
rnacentral:rRNA from 1 species